rnacentral:rRNA from 1 species
UACGAAGGGUGCAAGCGUUACUCGGAAUUACUGGGCGUAAAGCGUGCGUAGGUGGUUCGUUAAGUCUGAUGUGAAAGCCCUGGGCUCAACCUGGGAAUGGCAUUGGAUACUGGCGACCUAGAGUGCGGUAGAGGGUGGCGGAAUUCCCGGUGUAGCAGUGAAAUGCGUAGAUAUCUGGAGGAAUACCGGUGGCGAAGGCGGCAUCCUGGACCGGCAUUGACGCUGAUGAGCGAAAGCUAGGGGAGCAAACGGG